rnacentral:SRP_RNA from 1 species
GCUGAGAGAGCGUGGAGCUACGACUGGCAAACCCCGCCAGGACCGAGAGGUAGCAACGGUAGCUUGUUCGUAGUUGUCGCGUAAACUCUCAGUGGU